rnacentral:rRNA from 1 species
GGAGUCUGGACCGUUCUCAGUUCCAAUGUGGCCGUUCAACCUCUCAGUCCGGCUACCGAUCGUCGCCUUGGUAGGCCUUUACCCUGCCAACUAGCUAAUCGGACGCGAGCUCAUCUUUGAUCGCCGGAGCUUUGGUUAGAAAACCAUGCGAUCUUCUAACGUUAUGCGGUAUUAGCACACGUUUCCAUGUGUUAUCCCUCUAUCAAAGGCAGAUUGCUCACGCGUUACUCACCCGUCCGCCACUAACUUUACAAAAAACCGAAGUUUCUCGUAUCGUCCGUUCGACUUGAAUGUGUUAUGCACGCCGCCAGCGUUUAUC